rnacentral:tRNA from 1 species
GGGGAUUUAGCUCAAUGGUAGAGCACUUGCCUAGCAAGUGCAAGGCCCUGGGUUCAGUCCCCA